rnacentral:rRNA from 1 species
AGGGUUUGAUCAUGGCUCAGAUUGAACGCUGGCGGCAAGCCUCAUACAUGCAAGUCGAACGAGAAAGCAUCUUCGGAUGUGAGUAAAGUGGCGGACGGGUGAGUAAUACAUAGGAAUCUACCCAAUGGCGGGGGACAGCUCGAGGAAACUCGAAUUAAUACCGCAUAAUCUCUACGGAGUAAAGAGGGCUUCGGCUCUCACCAUCGGAUGAGCCUAUGCAAGAUUAGCUUGUUGGUAAGGUAAUGGCUUACCAAGGCUACGAUCUUUAGCUGGUUUGAGAGGAUGACCAGCCACAUCGGGACUGAGACACGGCCCGGACUUCUACGGAAGGCAGCAGUAGGGAAUAUUGGACAAUGAGCGAAAGCUUGAUCCAGCUAUGCCGCGUGUGCGAUGACGGCCCUCGGGUUGUAAAGCACUUUAGGUAACGAGGAAAAGUUAAGUGUUAAUACCACUUAACCAUGACGUUAAUUACAGAAUAAGCACCGGCUAAAUCCGUGCCAGCAGCCGCGGUAAUACGGAUGGUGCAAGCGUUAAUCGGAAUUACUGGGCGUAAAGCGCGCGUAGGUGGCAUACUGAGUUAGAUGUGAAAUCCCGGGGCUUAACCUCGGAACUGCAUCUAAAACUGGUAAGCU